rnacentral:rRNA from 1 species
UACUCUUGACAUCCAGGAAAUUUUUCAGAGAUGAAUUAGUGCAUUCGGGAAUCCUGAGAC